AUCAAUUGAAAAACACAUAAGUAUAACAUCGGUAUCUGGAUAAGAAAGUGGUCUAAGUCGAUCAUAGUCUUCUUGUCCUGCUGUAUCCCACAAAGCCAACUCAACCUGCAGAAGAAAGACAAAGGCAGUUAGCCAGAUCACCAGGGAAGAGCGUCGUGUAUGG